rnacentral:rRNA from 1 species
GGGUUGUGAGGUUAAGCGACUAAGCGUACACGGUGGAUGCCCUGGCAGUCAGAGGCGAUGAAGGACGUGCUAAUCUGCGAUAAGCGUCGGUAAGGUGAUAUGAACCGUUAUAACCGGCGAUUUCCGAAUGGGGAAACCCAGUGUGUUUCGACACACUAUCAUUAACUGAAUCCAUAGGUUAAUGAGGCGAACCGGGGGAACUGAAACAUCUAAGUACCCCGAGGAAAAGAAAUCAACCGAGAUUCCCCCAGUAGCGGCGAGCGAACGGGGAGGAGCCCAGAGCCUGAAUCAGUGUGUGUGUUAGUGGAAGCGUCUGGAAAGGCGCGCGAUACAGGGUGACAGCCCCGUACACAAAAAUGCACAUACUGUGAGCUCGAUGAGUAGGGCGGGACACGUGGUAUCCUGUCUGAAUAUGGGGGGGACCAUCCUCCAAGGCUAAAUACUCCUGACUGACCGAUAGUGAACCAGUACCGUGAGGGAAAGGCGAAAAGAACCCCGGCGAGGGGAGUGAAAAAGAACCUGAAACCGUGUACGUACAAGCAGUGGGAGCACAGAGCAAUCUGUGUGACUGCGUACCUUUUGUAUAAUGGGUCAGCGACUUAUAUUCUGUAGCAAGGUUAACCGAAUAGGGGAGCCGAAGGGAAACCGAGUCUUAACUGGGCGUUAAGUUGCAGGGUAUAGACCCGAAACCCGGUGAUCUAGCCAUGGGCAGGUUGAAGGUUGGGUAACACUAACUGGAGGACCGAACCGACUAAUGUUGAAAAAUUAGCGGAUGACUUGUGGCUGGGGGUGAAAGGCCAAUCAAACCGGGAGAUAGCUGGUUCUCCCCGAAAGCUAUUUAGGUAGCGCCUCGUGAAUUCAUCUCCGGGGGUAGAGCACUGUUUCGGCAAGGGGGUCAUCCCGACUUACCAACCCGAUGCAAACUGCGAAUACCGGAGAAUGUUAUCACGGGAGACACACGGCGGGUGCUAACGUCCGUCGUGAAGAGGGAAACAACCCAGACCGCCAGCUAAGGUCCCAAAGUCAUGGUUAAGUGGGAAACGAUGUGGGAAGGCCCAGACAGCCAGGAUGUUGGCUUAGAAGCAGCCAUCAUUUAAAGAAAGCGUAAUAGCUCACUGGUCGAGUCGGCCUGCGCGGAAGAUGUAACGGGGCUAAACCAUGCACCGAAGCUGCGGCAGCGACACUGUGUGUUGUUGGGUAGGGGAGCGUUCUGUAAGCCUGUGAAGGUGUGCUGUGAGGCAUGCUGGAGGUAUCAGAAGUGCGAAUGCUGACAUAAGUAACGAUAAAGCGGGUGAAAAGCCCGCUCGCCGGAAGACCAAGGGUUCCUGUCCAACGUUAAUCGGGGCAGGGUGAGUCGACCCCUAAGGCGAGGCCGAAAGGCGUAGUCGAUGGGAAACAGGUUAAUAUUCCUGUACUUGGUGUUACUGCGAAGGGGGGACGGAGAAGGCUAUGUUGGCCGGGCGACGGUUGUCCCGGUUUAAGCGUGUAGGCUGGUUUUCCAGGCAAAUCCGGAAAAUCAAGGCUGAGGCGUGAUGACGAGGCACUACGGUGCUGAAGCAACAAAUGCCCUGCUUCCAGGAAAAGCCUCUAAGCAUCAGGUAACAUCAAAUCGUACCCCAAACCGACACAGGUGGUCAGGUAGAGAAUACCAAGGCGCUUGAGAGAACUCGGGUGAAGGAACUAGGCAAAAUGGUGCCGUAACUUCGGGAGAAGGCACGCUGAUAUGUAGGUGAAGUCCCUCGCGGAUGGAGCUGAAAUCAGUCGAAGAUACCAGCUGGCUGCAACUGUUUAUUAAAAACACAGCACUGUGCAAACACGAAAGUGGACGUAUACGGUGUGACGCCUGCCCGGUGCCGGAAGGUUAAUUGAUGGGGUCAGCGCAAGCGAAGCUCUUGAUCGAAGCCCCGGUAAACGGCGGCCGUAACUAUAACGGUCCUAAGGUAGCGAAAUUCCUUGUCGGGUAAGUUCCGACCUGCACGAAUGGCGUAAUGAUGGCCAGGCUGUCUCCACCCGAGACUCAGUGAAAUUGAACUCGCUGUGAAGAUGCAGUGUACCCGCGGCAAGACGGAAAGACCCCGUGAACCUUUACUAUAGCUUGACACUGAACAUUGAGCCUUGAUGUGUAGGAUAGGUGGGAGGCUUUGAAGUGUGGACGCCAGUCUGCAUGGAGCCGACCUUGAAAUACCACCCUUUAAUGUUUGAUGUUCUAACGUGGACCCGUGAUCCGGGUUGCGGACAGUGUCUGGUGGGUAGUUUGACUGGGGCGGUCUCCUCCUAAAGAGUAACGGAGGAGCACGAAGGUUGGCUAAUCCUGGUCGGACAUCAGGAGGUUAGUGCAAUGGCAUAAGCCAGCUUGACUGCGAGCGUGACGGCGCGAGCAGGUGCGAAAGCAGGUCAUAGUGAUCCGGUGGUUCUGAAUGGAAGGGCCAUCGCUCAACGGAUAAAAGGUACUCCGGGGAUAACAGGCUGAUACCGCCCAAGAGUUCAUAUCGACGGCGGUGUUUGGCACCUCGAUGUCGGCUCAUCACAUCCUGGGGCUGAAGUAGGUCCCAAGGGUAUGGCUGUUCGCCAUUUAAAGUGGUACGCGAGCUGGGUUUAGAACGUCGUGAGACAGUUCGGUCCCUAUCUGCCGUGGGCGCUGGAGAACUGAGGGGGGCUGCUCCUAGUACGAGAGGACCGGAGUGGACGCAUCACUGGUGUUCGGGUUGUCAUGCCAAUGGCACUGCCCGGUAGCUAAAUGCGGAAGAGAUAAGUGCUGAAAGCAUCUAAGCACGAAACUUGCCCCGAGAUGAGUUCUCCCUGACCCUUUAAGGGUCCUGAAGGAACGUUGAAGACGACGACGUUGAUAGGCCGGGUGUGUAAGCGCAGCGAUGCGUUGAGCUAACCGGUACUAAUGAACCGUGAGGCUUAACCUUACAACGCCGAAGGUGUUU